UUUAGAUGGAGUGGGAAGGACUCAGAUGAAGACCUUCCACAGGACUCUGCAGUCACUGUUCCCAGGUGGAGACAGGUUUGACACUGGCAGACAUCUUGGACAGUUUUCAAACUGAGCACAAAAAGGACACAAACAUCACCGUAUCCUUGAAGAAAUUUAUAGUUAUUAUAGAUUAGUACUGAUAUUAGAAACAACACUAGAGUAUUAGGUUUUUUUAUAACACUUUUAUAAUGUUUGAUCUAUUAUGUGUUCAUUGAAAUAGAGUAGCUACAUGUCCGAAUCAUAACCAACACAUAAGUGAAGCGUUAUGAUCACAUUAGGUUGGGUUAUUGGAUGAAUGCCUGUGAUUCAGCCGUAGGUCAGCAGGGGGCGAACUCAGGCAUUGAAGAAUCGUGUAAAAACGUGAACUUCCUGACGUUGAGUCCAGAGUGGUUUCCUUGUCAGCCGGUGACAAAUAAACCUCACUCAGAGAGCCCUUCUGAGCCAUGACCAUGACCAAACCAAGUGUCUGCUGGAAGAUGUUCCACAACUGGAAUUUAUCAGAGACAUGGCAGCUGAUUACAGGGGCUCAAAGACUGUUUCUUAGGCUUCUGAUGUUAGAAGUUGGUUCCUCAGGAGUGUUUGAAGGUCAGACAGGGAACCUGUUCUUCAGCUCUGACCUGGAGGAGCUGGUCUGGUCAGGAACAAGUACUUCCUGGCAGCGAGACUGACUGCAGGGUCCAUCUUCCAUAAUGGCCCUGGUCCCAGUGGACCUAAAUACCAGUCUUUACAGGAUGAUGUGUGGUCAGCCAGUAGACGUCCCUGCACUGGUACCAGUGCUUCCUGUUGACUCGACACAACAUGUUGAAGACAUAGCUGUCCUCUGAAGGUUUGGACCUGCUCCACACCUGAUGAGCUGCAGGAGGUGAAGGAGGAGUUUCCAUCUGUGUGAUGGAGACAGUUUGAGCUCCAUGUAUUCCACAGCUCUCCCAGCAUGGUCAGCCAGUACAGGAACAGAUUGAACCAGUGUGGGCCUUCUGCAGGUAGUGGGCAGAAACUGUCCACCUGUGUGUUUACAGCACAGGUGAGCUGCCUGCAGUGUGUUUUCAUGGUAACAUGGAGUCCUGCUGCAAACAACCGAAGGAGGAAGAAGAGGAGAACUGGCUGCUGGAUGUUGUACAACAAGCAGCUGCUCAUCUUUGUGUCGGGGACAGACCUAAUCCGAACCAGGAGAACCCUGCCUCCCAAUGUUUCCUCCCAGAGGAGCACAGUGUGCUGAGGACAUGAACGAGCUGAUGGAAUGCAGCCAGAGGCUCACACAGCUUCGUUUAAAGAAAACUGUUUAAAGUAAAUGUUCACAUGUCCAUUCUUCAUUAGGAACAUUUGUAACUGCUUCAAACCUGGUCAGUUGUUAUUAAAUCAACAAACGUU